rnacentral:rRNA from 1 species
AGCUCCAAUAGCGUAUAUUAAAGUUGCUGCAGUUAAAAAGCUCGUAGUUGGAUCUCGGGGUACCUGGUCUAGCCGGUAUAGCUCACGCUAAAACUGGUCUGACCCCCCAACGUGAGGUAUUCGUCUCCGGGUGCACUUCAUUGGGUGCUCGUGAGGGGCCUCGUAGUUACUGUGAAAAAAUUAGAGUGUUCAAAGCAGGCUCAUAUGUUCGGAUAGUCGUGCAUGGAAUAACUGAUUCGGUACCGGCGCCUUUCAAGUGGGCCCGGGCGCCUGUUAAAUGGAUAAAGAGGGCCGCCCGGGGCAUUGGUAUGGCGGGGUUAGAGGUGAAAUUCUUGGAUCCUCGCCAGACCAACAAAAGCGAAAGCAUUUGCCAAGAAUGUCUUCA